GUCCCUUUGGGGACAUUCGAUAAAAUUGCAACGAUACCGAGAAAAUUAGCAUGGCUUCUGCGCAUGGACGACACACAUAAAUCACUAUUUCAUACGGUAUGU